GGGUGAGUAACACGUGAGUAACCUGCCCUUAACUCUGGGAUAAGCCUGGGAAACUGGGUCUAAUACCGGAUAGGAGCGCCUACCGCAUGGUGGGUGUUGGAAAGAUUUAUCGGUUUUGGAUGGACUCGCGGCCUAUCAGCUUGUUGGUGAGGUAAUGGCUCACCAAGGCGACGACGGGUAGCCGGCCUGAGAGGGUGACCGGCCACACUGGGACUGAGACACGGCCCAGACUCCUACGGGAGGCAGCAGUGGGGAAUAUUGCACAAUGGGCGCAAGCCUGAUGCAGCGACGCCGCGUGAGGGAUGACGGCCUUCGGGUUGUAAACCUCUUUCAGUAGGGAAGAAGCGAAAGUGACGGUACCUGCAGAAGAAGCACCGGCUAACUACGUGCCAGCAGCCGCGGUAAUACGUAGGGUGCGAGCGUUAUCCGGAAUUAUUGGGCGUAAAGAGCUCGUAGGCGGUUUGUCGCGUCUGUCGUGAAAGUCCGGGGCUUAACCCCGGAUCUGCGGUGGGUACGGGCAGACUAGAGUGCAGUAGGGGAGACUGGAAUUCCUGGUGUAGCGGUGGAAUGCGCAGAUAUCAGGAGGAACACCGAUGGCGAAGGCAGGUCUCUGGGCUGUAACUGACGCUGAGGAGCGAAAGCAUGGGGAGCGAACAGGAUUAGAUACCCUGGUAGUCCAUGCCGUAAACGUUGGGCACUAGGUGUGGGGACCAUUCCACGGUUUCCGCGCCGCAGCUAACGCAUUAAGUGCCCCGCCUGGGGAGUACGGGCCGCAAGGCUAAAACUCAAAGGAAUUGACGGGGGCCCGCACAAGCGGCGGAGCAUGCGGAUUAAUUCGAUGCAACGCGAAGAACCUUACCAAGGCUUGACAUGUUCUCGAUCGCCGUAGAGAUACGGUUUCCCCUUUGGGGCGGGUUCACAGGUGGUGCAUGGUUGUCGUCAGCUCGUGUCGUGAGAUGUUGGGUUAAGUCCCGCAACGAGCGCAACCCUCGUUCCAUGUUGCCAGCACGUAGUGGUGGGGACUCAUGGGAGACUGCCGGGGUCAACUCGGAGGAAGGUGAGGACGACGUCAAAUCAUCAUGCCCCUUAUGUCUUGGGCUUCACGCAUGCUACAAUGGCCGGUACAAUGGGUUGCGAUACUGUGAGGUGGAGCUAAUCCCAAAAAGCCGGUCUCAAGUUCGGAUUGGGGUCUGCAACUCGACCCCAUGAAGUCGGAGU
rnacentral:rRNA from 1 species